rnacentral:lncRNA from 1 species
UUUGAGUAACUUCCAUUAUAAAUUCCUAAAUAAUCGAGACCCACUUUUUUGUAAGGUAAAACUGCUGAGUGACUUUAAUUCCACAAGUUACGGAUUCUAUAUAAGUAAUAGUUUUCUGCAGUCCACGUCCUUUUACGAUACAACUAAUGCUAUAUCAUUUCACAAAAAAAAAACUACCCAAUAAAAAAAUAUUUCAAUUGCAAUAAUGAAGAUAAUGAUAUGACUUCAGAACAACAUCGUCCCAUCUUAAACCCAAUACGAUGUCAUCUAAAGAAGAGAAAAUAUUUUGAUUUUUAUUUUUAGCCUUUUAUUAGAAAGAAAAUUAACUGUAAUAAAUUAUACAAAAAAAAAAUAUCCUUACAAUUUUAUUAAGCUUAAAUAAGACAUUAAAUUUUUUUUGUAGUUACAAAUUUUUGUAGGUUAUUUCAAGAAACAUACAAAAUAUUCAUCAACUAAUAAAUUAUUUAAACAAACAU